rnacentral:rRNA from 1 species
CCUACGGGAGGCAUCAGUGGGGAAUAUUGGUCAAUGGACGAGAGUCUGAACCAGCCAAGUAGCGUGAAGGAUGACUGCCCUAUGGGUUGUAAACUUCUUUUAUAUGGGAAUAAAACGUUCCACGUGUGGGAUUUUGUAUGUACCAUAUGAAUAAGGAUCGGCUAACUCCGUGCCAGCAGCCGCGGUAAUACGGAGGAUCCGAGCGUUAUCCGGAUUUAUUGGGUUUAAAGGGAGCGUAGGUGGAUUGUUAAGUCAGUUGUGAAAGUUUGCGGCUCAACCGUAAAAUUGCAGUUGAAACUGGCAGUCUUGAGUACAGUAGAGGUGGGCGGAAUUCGUGGUGUAGCGGUGAAAUGCUUAGAUAUCACGAAGAACUCCGAUUGCGAAGGCAGUUCACUGGACUGCAACUGACACUGAGGCUCGAAAGUGUGGGUAUCAAACAGGAUUAGAUACCCCAGUAGUC